AGAGUAAAAACAAAUUUCAAACUCAACGGAAAUACAGCCAAAGUGAUUCUCAAUGAAAUACAACAAUUCAUGAUAUAGGCCGGACAGAACAAAGGUAGAUACAAACUAUAUAUAAAGAGAAGAUCAAAGAAUCGUCUUCACCAUCAAAUUUUGACAAAGUUACAUGAUACUAUCUAUAAUUCUGCCUAGUAGUAAUGUAGGCUUCAAUAUAUUGAUUAUUAUAGGGUGUGAUGUAAUGGUCCAUUAACAGAAAUUACAGAGCCACAUUGGGUAAGUAAAGCAGGAAAUUUCAA
rnacentral:lncRNA from 1 species